rnacentral:misc_RNA from 1 species
GUAGGUGAACCUGCGGAAGGAUCAUUAGAGAGACUUUGCCCUUUAGGUAUAUCUCCCACCCUGAUUAUUUUACCUGGUUGCUUUGGCGAACAGACGCUAUAUGCUGAAGCUCGCCAGAGUGUACAUACUCUUGUUUCAUGUCUUCUUCUCCCCCCCCCCCUCUUUCCCCCUUUCCCCCCCUUCUCUCUUUUUUCUUUCCUCUCUU